rnacentral:misc_RNA from 1 species
AACUGAUACUACCUGCGGGAACCUGCGGAGGGAUCAUUAAAAGAGUGUUGAUACCCCCCCUAAAAAAGGGGGUUCACCUCCCGUCCUUUGUUGAUCCCUUUAGGGACUUUUUGAACCAUUUUUACUUUGACGGGGUAAACCCGUCAGAGGAACUUCAAAAAAUUCUGAACAAAAAACUGUUCUGUCCGAAGGCCUUUUUAAUAAGAAAACUUUUAACAAUGGAUCUCUAGAUCGGAAGAG